GUUUCACAGGCUGUUGAGGCUGCCUCUGACCAAGAAGAGUUGCUCAGUGACGUUGUCUAGGCUUUCUGUGAUAAAGAAGAGGUGCUCCGUAAGGUUGUCUAGGAAGUGAAUGGCAACCAUUGCCCAGAAGUUGAGCAAACAGGUGCAUUGCAGUACCUUCACACCCAGACCAAGGAGGUUUACAAGCAACCUAACAAUGCUACUCAGAAUGACUGGGAGUCUAGCACAGGCCCCAGCCCCAGCUCAACCCAGCCCCAGAAACAGAGGCAAGGGCAAGAACAGGAAAGCUCCUAAUUUUAACAGUGACAACACCAAAAACGAUAAGGACUUUGUUCCAGAAAAUAAAGACUGAGGAGGAGGAAAGCGAGGAUGAAGAUAUUCAAGAAGACUAAGACUUGGAGCUGAGGCACGCCAAUGAAAGACCUUAGAUUCAACGCAUUUCCUGAGGUCUUCAACGUUGUUUUGGGUCGGCCUCUGGGAUCAGUUCAAAUGCCCUGGGUGGUGCAGACAAAGGAUCCGAUUCGGGAAACUCAUAUGCUUGGUCAAGGUACUGUCAAACCUGAUACCAUGGUAAAGGCUGCCAAUCGACUGACCAACAACAUGAUGGGACCCAUCUGGAUGUGCACCAAAACCACCAAGAAGUUUGAGGCUGAGAAGUACCUGCUGCAGGAAAUGGGGUCUACAGCCUUCACCUUCUUCAGAGAGACAACUCCUCUGCACAAACUGAAGAGGUAGGUCCUGUGUAGCUCAACUUGUAAUAGUGUGCUGCUAGCAACACCAAGGUCUUGGUGUGUCUGAUGUUUACUGUUCACGUUUGAGUGCCUUCCCGCCCACCCUGAGCGCUGGGACAUGCUGUUCUAUAUGGGUGUUCCGGUGUGGGCCAUGGACUUGUGCCCCACCCCCGAUGGCACCCCUGUCAGCCAGUACGCUGCCAUCUACUGCUACAGAAACCUGGACUACCAUUACAGGUUGAACACGCUGAUUUGGGACAACUCCAGUACAACACCAGUCCACUCCAAUGUUGGCCCAGGAUAAAGGCUUUGUGUGGAAUGUGAAGUGGUGCCCAGGAGGAGCCUGGGAGCUGCUCACAACUAACAAGGCCCCUCACAUGCCCAGACUGUGUCUCCUGGCUGCCUCCACGUCAGGUCACAUCACCAUCGACAGCCUGCCUCAACCCAACACACUGCAGGACCGCAGGAAACACACCGCUAAAGGUGGAGCCAGACCAGCACUGAUGAUCUGCCAGGUGCAUGGUGUGAUCACCCUGAAGAGAGGCUCCCUCCAGGCCAACCAUGAUGAAAAGAAUAACCAGGUCCUCUCCACGGACUGGCUGCUGGCUUCUAUGAUGGUACAGUGGCCCUGUGGGACCACUCCUUUGCCCUCUACCCCUACCACUGCUUUGUCGCCCAUGACAACGCCACCUGUGCCCUCAGCUUCUGCCACGCAUCCAGAGGACAUUUAAGAAUGUCCAGAACUAAGCUCCUUUUGAAACACAUGCAGGCUGCAGAGACCACAUGGAGACUAAGCCUGGACCUGAUGCCUUUGGCUUCACUAACCAAGGUCACCAGGCUGCUCGUUAUUGCGCACACCUGUCGACAUCGGUACACUUGCAUCAGCGCAUAAUGACACUCACCUGGACUCCAUCACCUCCUUGAUUACAUGCCCUAGAUAUGCCACUCCCUUUGGUUCCUUCCCCAGGUGUCAAUGCUUCUGUUUCAGUUUCCCGUCUGUACGUUGGUCGUGUUUCUUGUUUUGUAUUAUGUUUCAUUAUUAAAUGAUUCACUACCUGAACUUGCUUCCCGACUUACAAUAAUGUAGGCCUAGUGCUAUAACAGUGAUAGCAACCCAUAGAUUGGUCAUGGAGCCAGUCACUCUAGCUUAGUGUUAGAUCUUGACCAUGUAGGGAAGCAGAGACUGUGGAUUAAGCAAAUAAUCUGAUUGUAAUCGAUUGACUGGGUAAAGAGUUGCACUGGAGCUCAACACUGUCAGGAUGUGUUAGCCCUCUGACUAAACUCUGACAGUCAUGCCUUCCGAGACCAUGCCUUCAGAGACCAUACUUUCAGAGACCACAGCUGGCAAUUUGGUUGCAUUAACGGGAUAGACUCAAUCUCUACUGUCUCUCAAGCACUGUUCUUUAUUGGUACUGUAUAGAGCAGUUAGAUUCAGCUGCGGGACCAUUUUUUUCCUUGAGCGAAUGGUCGUGGGCCAAAACAACAUAAUUGCAAAUAAUUUGUAGACUGCAAAUUGACUGCAAGAAGCCCAAACAUGU